rfam:Gossypium arboreum cultivar AKA8401 contig_7312_1, whole genome shotgun sequence.
UGUUAAAAAUUCUAUCCAUUUGUACUAUUAAAAAUUGAUGUGAUUGGCAGAUUAAUCAAACAAUGACAUGUGAUAUGCCGUAUACACCUCAUGUUUAUAAAUAAGGACUAGUUUUUAAUAGUAAAAAUCGAUGAAAUUUUUAAUA